CUGCUGCCUUCCGUAGGAGUCUGGGCCGUGUCUCAGUCCCAAUGUGGCCGGCCAACCUCUCAGUCCGGCUACUGAUCGUCGCCUUGGUGGGCCGUUACCCCGCCAACCAGCUAAUCAGACGCGAGUCCAUCUCAGAGCGAUAAAUCUUUGAUGUCCAGUGCCAUGCGACACAGACAUAUUAUGCGGUAUUAGCAGCUGUUUCCAACUGUUAUUCCCCACUCCAAGGCAGGUUACU
rnacentral:rRNA from 1 species